GAACAUGUCCUGUAGUGGGGGAUAGCCCGGCGAAAGCCGGAUUAAUACCGCAUACGAUCUGAGGAUGAAAGCGGGGGACCUUCGGGCCUCGCGCUAUAGGGUUGGCCGAUGGCUGAUUAGCUAGUUGGUGGGGUAAAGGCCUACCAAGGCGACGAUCAGUAGCUGGUCUGAGAGGACGACCAGCCACACUGGGACUGAGACACGGCCCAGACUCCUACGGGAGGCAGCAGUGGGGAAUUUUGGACAAUGGGCGAAAGCCUGAUCCAGCAAUGCCGCGUGUGUGAAGAAGGCCUUCGGGUUGUAAAGCACUUUUGUCCGGAAAGAAAUCCUUGGUUCUAAUAUAGCCGGGGGAUGACGGUACCGGAAGAAUAAGCACCGGCUAACUACGUGCCAGCAGCCGCGGUAAUACGUAGGGUGCAAGCGUUAAUCGGAAUUACUGGGCGUAAAGCGUGCGCAGGCGGNUUGCUAA
rnacentral:rRNA from 1 species